rnacentral:tRNA from 1 species
GUGGCUGUAGCUCAGCUGGAAGAGUCCCGGAAUGUGACUCCGGUGGUCGUGGGUUCGAGGCCCAUCAGCCACC